rnacentral:rRNA from 1 species
AGCACUCCUAGGGAGGCAGCAGUGGGGAAUAUUGCACAAUGGGCGCAAGCCUGAUGCAGCCAUGCCGCGUGUAUGAAGAAGGCCUUCGGGUUGUAAAGUACUUUCAGCAGUGAGGAAGGUGGAUAUGUUAAUAGCAUAUUCAUUUGACGUUGCUGCAGAAGAAGCACCGGCUAACUCCGUGCCAGCAGCCGCGGUAAUACGGAGGGUGCGAGCGUUAAUCGGAAUUACUGGGCGUAAAGCGCAUGCAGGUGGUUUGUUAAGUCAGAUGUGAAAGCCCGGGGCUCAACCUCGGAAUUGCAUUUGAAACUGGCAAACUAGAGUACUGUAGAGGGGGUAGAAUUUCAGGUGUAGCGGUGAAAUGCGUAGAGAUCUGAAGGAAUACCGGUGGCGAAGGCGGCCCCCUGGACAGAUACUGACACUCAGAUGCGAAAGCGUGGGGAGCAAACAGGAUUAGAUACCCUGGUAG